rnacentral:lncRNA from 1 species
AUUGGCUUUCGUCUCCCACCAUCAGAAUCCGAAUAGCGGCUCCUAGAGCCAAACCACAUUUUACACAUUAAGAAACUGUUUCUGGUAGUGUCGCUGGUACUAAGACAGGAUAAACAAUAUCGUGCCCUCCUGGUCACUGUUUUCAAACUGAAGAAGUUUAAAUGGUCCUUCAAGAAAGCAAACCAGCGAGAAAUAAUUUCCUUAUGUUUUAUUUUAAAUAAUGUGUAGAUGAUAAAGCUCUUUCCUCUUUGAAAUAAGACGAACACAAUUCCGAUUAAAUCGACGGAGAACUCACUUGACAUGCAUUUCACGGACCUCCACGGACUACUCCAAUAACAUAAGCCUGGCCUGUGGAGAGCAAACCCACCCAGCCAUCCACCCACCCACACAGUGUGAAAUCUACACCCCCUCAAGGAGAGCAGUGAGGUCACAGAAGACGAAAGCACCAUUGUGCAGUCAGAGGGAUGGAGGACAGGAGGCACCUGCCACCAGAUGGAGGUGGCAAUGCCAAACGUUCUGCCUCAGCCAAUUGUGACACAGAGGAUAGAGCGGUCAGGAAGGAGCAGGGUGACCCUGAGACCUCCACACAAAUGUGUGUGAGAAAAGACGAUCUCUCCGAUGUUCCUCGCAAGGUGCCUCGUUUCCAGUAUGUGGAUUUCCCUUCCCUGCACCAGUGCAUCCAACAGCUUUCUGUGCCUCCACUGAACGGCUGGCUGGGAUCCUGCUCGUUGGCAAAGGCACCAAAGUACAGGCCUGCCAGUCCUAAGGAAAAGGUGCCCAAGUUUAAAUACGUGGACUACCCAUCUCUCCACCACUGCAUUCAGCAGCUGUCUGUGCCUCCAUUGGAAAACUGGAGUGCAGGGCUGGUCAGGUUUAAUGUAGACGGGAAACAGGACGGCUCUGGGUCACAGAAGAGGCCCACUCAACCUGGGACUGUGAAGAAUAACAUAAGUAAUGAGGCAGGAGAUCAAAACAAGGAGGACAGGAGUAGAGUUAUAUCAUUUUCUUUCCCAAGAGACACACACAACUCAGUCUCAGGCAAGGAGGAGAGGCCUCAACACGACUACACCUCAGAGAUUGCAGAUCAAGAGCAGAAUCUGGUUCUGGAUCUCGUAGCGAUGCAGCAGUGGUGA